rnacentral:rRNA from 1 species
AACACGUGGGCAAUCUGCCCUUCACUCUGGGACAAGCCCUGGAAACGGGGUCUAAUACCGGAUAACACCUGCCCGGGCAUCUGGGUGGGUUAAAAGCUCCGGCGGUGAAGGAUGAGCCCGCGGCCUAUCAGCUUGUUGGUGAGGUAGUGGCUCACCAAGGCGACGACGGGUAGCCGGCCUGAGAGGGCGACCGGCCACACUGGGACUGAGACACGGCCCAGACUCCUACGGGAGGCAGCAGUGGGGAAUAUUGCACAAUGGGCGAAAGCCUGAUGCAGCGACGCCGCGUGAGGGAUGACGGCCUUCGGGUUGUAAACCUCUUUCAGCAGGGAAGAAGCGAAAGUGACGGUACCUGCAGAAGAAGCGCCGGCUAACUACGUGCCAGCAGCCGCGGUAAUACGUAGGGCGCAAGCGUUGUCCGGAAUUAUUGGGCGUAAAGAGCUCGUAGGCGGCUUGUCACGUCGGGUGUGAAAGCCCGGGGCUUAACCCCGGGUCUGCAUUCGAUACGGGCUAGCUAGAGUGUGGUAGGGGAGAUCGGAAUUCCUGGUGUAGCGGUGAAAUGCGCAGAUAUCAGGAGGAACACCGGUGGCGAAGGCGGAUCUCUGGGCCAUUACUGACGCUGAGGAGCGAAAGCGUGGGGAGCGAACAGGAUUAGAUACCCUGGUAGUCCACGCCGUAAACGGUGGGAACUAGGUGUUGG